GGGUAAUGGAAUAGUUCUGUAUCUUGACUAUGGUGGUGGCUACAGGAAUCUACGUAUGAGAUGAAAUGUGCAUGACACUAUACACAUACAUUGCACAAAUAUCAAUUUCCUGGUUUUGACAUUACAUUAUAGUUAUGUAACAUGUAACCAUUAGGCAAACUAGAAGAGUACACAGGACCUGUCUGUACUGUAUUUACAGCUUCCUAUGGAUUUGAAGUCAUUAAUUGUUCCAAAUUUUAAAGUUUAGUUAAAAAUCACACAUGAACGUUUUUUAAUAAAAAUAACACCUAUCAUGGGACUAAUGUGUACCAGUUAAACACAACACUCAGAUCAUUCUGCUGCUUCUAAGUAUAAAAAGAGAGCAAGGGUACCACCAAAAGAGAGUGCCAUCAUUUGAAAGGCUAUGUGGUGGUGGUGACAGCUGUUACGGUAGAAGGCAGGAGAGUCGGCACACCCAGAUUGGACAUCACAGCUACAGACAGCAUAUCCUGUAAACACAGGAAGAAACAUGGGGGAUCAGCUGCGUGAGACUCAACUCCUUCUCUCCUGGGCAGACAGACCUGUCCCUAGACAGUAACCACCACCAGCACUGCUUCCAGGAGGGAGCUCCGAGGGGCCACACAUCGCUCCUGUUGGAGCACUGCAUUCCAAUAAAUAGAAGCUUGGUUGAGCAACCUGGGCAUAAAGAAUGCACAAUUCAAUUGGUCCCACUUAUGUCAGGGAAGACAGAGUAAAAAUGAUCUCUGCUGCUGGGACAGUUAGGAUUCUGUAAAUUGUGCCUCGGCGCUAGGUUUUAUUCUAGGUCCAGGUACCCUAAAAAGGACAGAGAGGUACAAAGCUUACUUACAAAGCUCACAGAACUAUUAGUGUUCUUUCUUAAGGCUCUGGAUGCAAACCAGUUUCGUCUCAGAAAAGCAAAACGAAAAUACUUUGCAGAUGUGAGUAGUUUCCCUCUAUCCUUCUUGGCGGUCCGCUUCCUAUUCCUGGGUUCAAUGUCAUGCCCUCAGAGGUCAUUCCUCUCUCCAGGCAACUCAUCUGGGACUUACAGGAAACAUCCAAUCAAUUCUAGUAAAACGAUAAGGUAUCCUUUGACCUCAGUUAAGAAAUAAAACUUACGGGUGAUUUUUUUCCCUUAAAUUUUUUUUCCAGUUAGAAAAUAAUGGAAUACUCAUUAUUUACAAAACCUGAUAUAUACAGACAAGCAAAAAAAAAUGUUUUGGUCGGCCGGGCGCAGUGGCUCACGCCUGUAAUCCCAGCACUUUGGGAGGUCGAGGCGGGCGGAUCACGAGGUCAGAAGAUCGAGACCAUCCUGGCUAACACGGUGAAACCCCGUCUCUACUAAAAAUACAAAAAGUUAGCCGGGCAUGGUGGCAGGCGCCUAGACAGGAUCUAGCUAUAUUUCCCAGGCUGGUCUCGAACUCCUGGCCUCAAGCAAUCCUCCCAUGGUUUGCCACCCAAAGUGCUGGGAUUACAGCCAUGAGACAAUGCACUCAGCUCAGAACUUUUUUCUCAAAGGCAUAUCAUAGUUUUAGCUUUGCUGUAGCCAUUUCAUCCAUAAUCACUUGCUGUGGCUGGGUAAAGUGAUACACACAUACACACACGCCCACACUGGUUUAGAGAAAUACAAAACGCAAUGCCUAGACGUGAAAUGUAUUUAUUCAGAUUUGUUAGAUGGCGCAAUCAAAUAAAUAUUUGUGUUAUGCUCUAAGCUUUUAAGAAGUCUUUUGUAUCUAAAAUAUAAGACACAUAUGUAAAUGACAUCCAGCUGAGCUGGACUGGCCAAUGUACUGAAAAAGGGCUACCACAUGUAGCUACAAGGUCUCACCCUGUUGGCCAGGCUGGUCUCCAACUCCUGGGCUCACGUGAUCUGCCCACUGUGGCCUUCCAAAG
rnacentral:lncRNA from 1 species